AACACAGGAACCACACCGGAAAACUCUCUCAAUCUCCGAUAUGCCCGAAGAAAAAGAAGAAUCCACUUCCAUUCCUCUCAGCCACCCCGACAAUACCGGCGACGAUCCCGAGGAUUCUGCCAAGUCUCCCCCUUCCUCCAAUUCCUCCACUCGUGAGGUCCGCUUUUAUUUCUUGAGAUUCAACUGUUUGAUUUCUAUUUAUUUUCACUGCCAUUGUUUGUUAGAUUUAGCAUUCAUGGAUCUAUACAUUUCACCUCUUGGUAGCCAUUGAUGUAGUUUAUAUUUUUAUUUUAAGAUUUUUUUAGAAUUUUCUAUGAUUUAGGUGGCUAAUUAUGAUUCGGAGAUUGAUCAUUGUGUGGUAGAUGUAUAAUAUGGCAUUUAAUCAAAACAGGAAAAUUGUAAUGUUUCAGAUUAUAAUGAUUUCCAGAACAAAAUUUGUGAACAGUGAUUAAGACGUUCUGCAGAGGGUAAAGCCAGUACGGUUGUGUACAGCAAACGUUAGGUUGUUUUAAUUGUGAAGCUUGAGUUUAUCAAAUAAUAUUUUAUAAACUGUAAAUGGAUAUAUUGUUGUCGGCAAGGUAAAUGUUAUUGAAUCAUGGAGACAUUGUUGUAAUACAGCUUUGCAUUUUCUUGUUAAAAUUACUCUCUGCUAGAAAUGGAAUUUGACAAGGUAUGGCCUAAUUAAUUUUGUUAUAUAUGUGUAAUGCAACUUAUAGAGACGUUACAUUAGGAAAUCCACGACUAGGAGAGAAAAGGAAAAUCGAAGGAAUAUACGUAUUUGCAGAAGCUGACACCUCGGCCACCAAUGAGAGCUCCAUUGUUCAGUAGUUCAUACCAUUUUAUCAGUAUUAUUAAGAAUAGCAAUGGAUAUACAACCAUCCUCCUCAACAAAAAUAAAUAAAUAAAUAAAAAAAAUAAGAAGAUAAAAAAGAAAAAGAGGUUUGGGGGGGGGGGGGGGUGACUGAAGCUUAAUUAAAUUGAGAAUUCGUGCAAGUUCAAACCCAAACUUCCUCUUAAAUGCAUGUGGAAAUUUGUGUCGUUUCAAACUUUGAUAUAAGAAUUAGAGUCAAUUCCAAUCAUUUAUGUGUGAAUUAAAAAUGACAUAAGCUUUAACCUUGUGAAAGCUUAUUUUCUCAUGUAUGCAAAUUCAUGAGGUUUAUGUAAAAAAUGAUCAUGCCAAGUUUUCAUAUAUGAUAUUUUCGUUCCAUUCAUUUGUUCAGGCUUGUUGUUAUGUUCUCCAAAGUUGGGUCUCAAAGAAGUUUAUGACUGGAUGGUAAGGAGCGUAACUACUACUUGAAAUGUUCUAAACUUCUUUUGAUAUAUCAAGCCUAAUAUUUUGUUGCAUUGUGAAAUUGCAGUGUUGUACUUUUCCCCAUAGCUGUAACAUUCUUUAUUACAUGGUGGCUUAUUCAGUUUGUUGAUGGUUUCUUCAGUCCAAUUUAUGAACGGCUUGGCAUUGACAUAUUUGGUAGGUAGUUUUGUCCAAAGGUUGUAAUUUUAUGUGAUACUGCAAUAUCUCGUUGAUAACUUCAAUUUAAUGCAAGAGGCUUAUAUUUUGUCCCAAAACACAUAACUUAGUCAUAUAAAGAAGGAAAACAGCAAUAUUGAUAAGAAUAAAUCAAAGACUGGAAUACUGGGAGUUGGUUUGUUCUUCUCAGAAUCCUAAAUCAUGUCUUGCAGAAUAAGCAAAGUGUUAUUGUUUACUUUAUCUCAAUGCUUACACGUGACAUUCUAGACGAUUUAUUUGGUAAUGUCCUCAUCAUGAUUUAUGGGUUGGCCAUAUUUAUCAAAGUCUGCAGUGUUAUUUGAGUAUUUUAAAGAAGGGAUACUCUACUGUAUGUCUUGUCAAAAACUUCUUAUAGAAUGGUGCAAGUGCAACCUUUUGUUCCUCUGAAUUCAGUUACUUGGAAAAAAAAUUGUAAAUUCAUGAUACUGAGAAAAUCUUAAAAUAGAAACAGGAAUUGCUCACAAUUGUAUAUUUAUUACUUUCAUUUAUAACAUACUAUUACUUUAAGCUUAUUAUUUUACAAUGAAUGCAAAGAAAUUAUUCUUUGAGAGUAAAAAUAUCAGAAUAACUGUGUUUAUGGUGGUUGAAUAUUUAGGGUUCAUUUGUUUCAAUGGCAUGGCUAGUGCAUGUUGAUUAGCAAUUUCUUAGCUUUUGUUCAAAUUAAAAAUGCAAUAUUAAUUCAUGGAAUAGUUAUUAUAUAAUUUGAAGGUUUUUUUUUUUAAACAUUAAAAUUUAAAAUGUCCAAUAACUAUUUUAGAAAACAAAUAACUCUUUUAAAUUAAUUUGAUAUAAAUUCAACAUACAAGUGAAAAGUAACUAUUCAAAUAGCACAAAUUUCUAUUAUUCUUUCCAUUCCUCAAACCAAAUAGCAUAUUGUUCCUUGUAAUUUUAAAUGAGUUAAUUAGAUUUUUGUCAUGAGUCUUCAUGCUACACUUCCUUUGUGUUUCUCAUAGAUGUAAAUUAUCUGGGAAAGGUUGCAUAGAAUGACAUCAUUUUCAUCUAUGUGCUACCCAACAUUGCUAUGAAAGUCAAAGAGGGAAAAUAGAUGUCUCUGGAUAAUGUUAGCUUUGAAGUUUAUGUUACUGUAUUUCAAGAUAUUACACUACAACACAUUUAUUUUGAAAUGACAAUUAUUCGGUGAAAGUGUAAGUUUGGCUAAUUAUAAAAUCUUUCUGAACAACAUGCUUUUUACCUGGAAAUAUAUAGAUACUAUAUUAUGAUUUUCUUUUUUUUUUUGUUUUUAAAUUAUAUAUUUAAUGUUUGUAUUAUACACUUCAAAGUACUUGGUCUGCCAUGCAGGACUUGGAUUUGUCACAUCUCUGGUAUUUGUAUUCUUCGUUGGUGUUUUUGUUUCAUCAUGGAUAGGCUCCACUGUUUUCUGGCUUGGGGAAUGGUUCAUAAAGCGAAUGCCCUUUGUUAAGCACUUAUAUUCAGCAUCCAAACAAAUUAGCGCUGCAGUUUCUCCAGGUUAAUCGAAUGUCCCUUUAUUAAUUUCACAAAGGCAUCUGGAAAUGCAAUUAUAUUUGUACACAGGGCAUGGAAGUUGCUUAAGGCUGUGCAGUGUGCACAUAUUUUCUUACUCUAGUUAGUUUAACAUGUUAUUAUUACUUGUAUCCUGUUAUCUUACAGACCGUCUUCAUCCUUGGGAUUUAUUUUGCUAUUUGGCUCACUCUGCCUGAGUUCUAAACUAUAUGCUAACUACUUAUUUAAUUACAAAUUGCCUCCAAAAGUGGAAACAUUGCCAAGUAUUGUCUAUUGUCAAUGAUGAUUUCACUUAAUUGGUUGAACCUUUUAUUUCAGAUGGGCAUGGUAGAAAUCUUUGACAUACUUAACCAUGAUUUGCUUUAGCAUUGGGCUCUUUAAUUUCUUAGGACUAUGGGUAUGGUGGACUAAUUUUUCUCUGCAAAUUGUUGUGUUUCACAAAGUUGGAAUUUUUUUUUAUCCAAUUUUAAGUUGACAAGCUUUGUCCUCAUCACUGCAACAGACCCAUCCUGAAAAACUUUGUAAAUGUCAUUUGACUCGAGUCUUUUUUUCCUUUAAUUCCAGUGUAUUGGGACCAGUUGUUAUUUAUUUAAGCAUUUUCAUGUGUUAAAAUUGGUUUACUUGAUAUUGAUAUCCAUGUCUCCUCUACAGAUCAGAAUACCACAGCAUUUAAAGAGGUUGCAAUUAUCCGUCAUCCUCGUGUUGGUGAAUAUGCUUUUGGUUUCAUCACAUCUACAGUUAUCCUUCAGGUACUUCUGUCUUAUGAUGUGCAUUAUAUUGCAAAGGGAUAAGUUUUACGUUUAUAUAUAAGUGACAUCUUGAGACUAAGUUUUCCCAUUCAUUCAGUCCAUUUGUUGUGAAUGUGAUAUUAAGCUCCCACCAUGAUAUUGUAUUACCGUAACAAAUGCAAGUGGCAAUAGAUACAAAUUGUCCAUACUAUAUUUGGUCAUUACUCUUUUUUCUUUUCCCUUUUUAUUUUCCUCCUUGAGAUCAAGCAUGGGAUGGGAGGCCUUAAGUAUCAAGGAUUAUUCUAUCUAGUCUCAAGGAAACUUUUCUUGUUUUGGAAAAGGUGAAAGGUAGGGGAGUCAAAAUUAUGGAAGUGGAUUUUAGUUUGGGCUAUCUUGACCUUUUCAUUCCAAUUGGAAAGUGAAAGUAGAGAGAUUUACUAAUUAGUCCUUGUCACUACUUUUUUCCCAAUUGAAGUUAAUUACAGUAUUCUGAUUUGGCGGUAAUAAAAAUUGUUUUAUUUUUUUUUUUCCUCUCAGUUUUUUUUCCUGUAUUUUACUUGAAGGAACCUCCUCCAAUUCCAGAGUUAAUUUUUUUGGAGAGGGCCAAUAUUAUGUAUAAAAUAAUUCAAAAAAUAUUUAAUUAUGCUCAUUUUUUAUACAUAUAUAUUUUAACUGGUAAAUGUUGCAUAUUAGAGGGCGAUGUUAAUUUUUUCGUGGAGGGUAUUAAUGGUAAAAGAAUUCAUUAAAUUUAUGAUGAGAAAUAAAUAAUUCUAACAUUCCCUUAUAUCAUCAUAAAGUAAUAUAUUUUUU
rnacentral:lncRNA from 1 species